rnacentral:rRNA from 1 species
AGAGUUUGAUCCUGGCUCAGAUUGAACGCUGGCGGCAUGCCUUACACAUGCAAGUCGAACGGUAACGCGGGGGCAACCCUGGCGACGAGUGGCGAACGGGUGAGUAAUACAUCGGAACAUAUCCAGUAGCGGGGGAUAACCUAUCGAAAGAUGGACUAAUACCGCAUACGAUCUACGGAUGAAAGCAGGGGACCGCAAGGCCUUGCACUAUUGGAGUGGCCGAUGUCGGAUUAGCUAGUUGGUGGGGUAAAAGCUUACCAAGGCGACGAUCCGUAGCUGGUCUGAGAGGACGAUCAGCCACACUGGAACUGAGACACGGUCCAGACUCCUACGGGAGGCAGCAGUGGGGAAUUUUGGACAAUGGGCGCAAGCCUGAUCCAGCCAUGCCGCGUGAGUGAAGAAGGCCUUCGGGUUGUAAAGCUCUUUCGGUGAAGACGAAACGGUUCAUGCUAAUAACGUGAACUAAUGACGGUACUCACAGAAGAAGCACCGGCUACUACGUGCCAGCAGCCGCGGUAAUACGUAGGGUGCAGGCGUUAAUCGGAAUUACUGGGCGUAAAGCGUGCGCAGGCGGUUUGCUAAGACAGGUGUGAAAUCCCCGGGCUUAACCUGGGAAUUGCGCUUGUAACUGGCAAGCUAGAGUGUGGCAGAGGGGGGUGGAAUUCCACGUGUAGCAGUGAAAUGCGUAGAUAUGUGGAGGAACACCGAUGGCGAAGGCAGCCCCCUGGGUUAACACUGACGCUCAUGCACGAAAGCGUGGGGAGCAAACAGGAUUAGAUACCCUGGUAGUCCACGCCCUAAACUAUGUCAACUGGUUGUCGGGGAAGAAAUUCCUUGGUAACGAAGCUAACGCGUGAAGUUGACCGCCUGGGGAGUACGGCCGCAAGGUUAAAACUCAAAGGAAUUGACGGGGACCCGCACAAGCGGUGGAUUAUGUGGAUUAAUUCGAUGCAACGCGAAAAACCUUACCUACCCUUGACAUGCUAGGAAGCCCGCAGAGAUGUGGGUGUGCCCGAAAGGGAACCUAGACACAGGUGCUGCAUGGCUGUCGUCAGCUCGUGUCGUGAGAUGUUGGGUUAAGUCCCGCAACGAGCGCAACCCUUGCCAUUAGUUGCUACAUUCAGUUGGGCACUCUAAUGGGACCGCCGGUGACAAACCGGAGGAAGGUGGGGAUGACGUCAAGUCCUCAUGGCCCUUAUGGGUAGGGCUUCACACGUAAUACAAUGGUCGGUACAGAGGGCUGCCAACCCGCAAGGGGGAGCUAAUCCCAGAAAGCCGAUCGUAGUCCGGAUUGUAGUCUGCAACUCGACUGCAUGAAGCCGGAAUCGCUAGUAAUCGCGGAUCAGCAUGUCGCGGUGAAUACGUUCCCGGGUCUUGUACACACCGCCCGUCACACCAUGGGAGUGGGUUCCACCAGAAGUAGUUAGCCUAACCGCAAGGAGGGCGAUUACCACGGUGAGAUUCAUGACUGGGGUGAAGUCGUAACAAGGUA